rnacentral:rRNA from 1 species
UACGUAGGUGGCAAGCGUUGUCCGGAUUUAUUGGGUUUAAAGGGUGCGUAGGCGGCCCUGUAAGUCAGUGGUGAAAUACAAUAGCUUAACUAUUGAGGUGCCAUUGAUACUGCGGAACUUGAGUACAGACGAGGUAGGCGGAAUUGACGGUGUAGCGGUGAAAUGCAUAGAUACAAUCAAGAACUCCGAUUGCGUAGGCAGCUAACUAGGCUGUAACUGACGCUGAGGCACGAAAGCGUGGGGAGCGAACAGG